UGGCCGGCGGCUCGGCUCGGCUCCGCUCACACCAGGAGCAGCGGCUCGGCGUGGUGGGAGUGGAGCGGAGCUGUCCGCCGUAGCCG
ensembl:miRNA gga-mir-1648 gga-mir-1648